rnacentral:lncRNA from 10 species
AAGGGAUGCCCUCCCGGGCUCUGGGAGAUGUGCGUGUGCGGGAUGCCACGUGACACAGCUGAACCUGAGGGGCCACUUUUGGCAAAGGCAGUGCGACAGGCCCGUGUCACGGGACCCGUGGUCGCCGUGGUGAUCCGCGUGGCAGCGCCGGGACUGCGGCCCUCAGGUGGUGGAGCCACCCCGCAGAGUCGCGCUCAGGGACAGCCGGGUGACCACGGGCUGUGGAGCUGGGCACUGCGCUCCAGGGCAGGGCUUAUGCCCUGAACCCGUAAGCAGUGCAUCCUCAGCCUCUCCUCCCCGAUCCUGCAUCCCCUCCUGCAACCAGAUACCGCCAAGGGCCGAGAGCCCAGUCUGAGCAGAGGACACUGAGGCCACCGCCACGCCAGGGCAGCUACUCCAUUUUCAAGUGAACCUGAGCACAGCUCCUGGGUUGCAUGAGGGGUGGGCUUGGUGGUGCCAAGCAAGAAAGGACAGGCAUAGCGCCGGGGCUGACUGCGUGGGUGUGGGCUCAGGACCUGGAGGCCGUAGCUCGAGCACUCAGUCCAGCAGCCAGGAGCGGCUCCAGCAAGGGCCAGGCUGUGACCAGGGCUGGCUCAGACACCGCCGUGAUCCCAGGAGGAAUGAGCUGAUGGUGGGCUCCAGGGGUUACCGCCAGAGGGACCCAGGCUGAUGGAAUGACUGCUGCCUAGAACAUUGCAGGUCUUCCCAGAUGAGACACAGAGGCUCUGGAGGGUCGUGCAAUGAUACUGCCUCACCGGAAGCUGAGCCUGGUACACGCAGAGCCCACAGGACACCCACAAGAGUCACAUACCUGCCAUUGACCACCUCUGGGCUUUUAAUACCGAAACUUCAAAGAACUUAUGUGUCUCUCAUUACACUUGCUAGCAAUAUUUAUACAGGAACAUGUUGUAUUUAUAUCCCCAAAAAUCAGUAAGAGAAUUUUAACAAAACCAUGUAUGGGAAAAGUCUUAAGUCACAUUUCAGAAACAAUGUGUAGUGGUUGUAAUAACAUGGGGGCAUUUUGCAAAGUUUGAGAACCAACAAAGAGGCGUGCGCACAGCCAGGGUGGGGCUGGGGCUCCUGCAGAGAGAUUUGCUCCACCCUGCGUUCAGGACGCCACCUGCACGAAAUGUUAAGUUCACCUGCGUGUCGUGUGUGUUACUGGCAUACACGCUUCCCUGGUUUAUAGUAACAUUGUAAUUUUUCUCAUUUUUUAAAAGUAAUCCCAGCACUUUGGGAGGCCGAGGCGGGCGGAUCACGAGGUCAGGAGAUCGAGA